rnacentral:lncRNA from 1 species
UCAAGACAAUUUUUUUUUGAAACAAGGCAAAAAAUUUGCCAUUUUCAUUGAUUAAGAAAAAGAGAAUUGCCCGGUUAAUUGACUGAAAGCCGGGCUAAAACCGAUACAACUCAACCCACAUAACAUGGGCACCAUCGGCCAACCUGGCCACCGACAUGGGAUCAUAGAGCUACAAACAGCUGCACAGAAAACCAUGAUGGCACAUGCCAACAGAAGGCCACACGCGUGAACAACCGACAACUCCGACUUUGACGAUGAUCAUCACAAGGGAAAUAUGCAGGACUUGCGCCGCCCGUGCCCUCCGAAACCGACCACCGAGCGCCUGUCAUCGUCACCGCCUGGACACACUCCACCGCAGCUCCGACUUCAAAGCAACCAAGCAACCAGCGGAAGAGCACCUCGGACACGUCGGGAAGAUCCGACUACCGAAGCCCGAGCCGCGACCAAAGCUCCUCUCGAAGCCAUCAUCGUUGCCAAACAGAAAUCCACGCCCCCGAAAUGGCCGCCUCAGCAAACUACGCGGCGAAGAUGCCGCAAACCACGCGGCGAAGAUGCCGCAACCCACACGGCGAAGAUGCCGCCAUCCACUGGUCUCCAGGUUGUGGCCGGCUCCGAGACGAUGCCCCCAAAGAGGAAGAAGACGUGAAGGCGCCUUCAUCGCCCGAUCCUGAAGAUCUGAGGUUUCCCUCCGAAGCCAAGGCCGCGGGGAGGGAGGAGGAGCACCACACAACAGCAACGCUUCCAAGAAAGAGCACGACGCCCACGGACAUCGCCGUCGCCCGAUCCGGCAAAGGCCGGACACAGGAUUUCUCCCGAAGAUGCUCAACCACCACCUGCCCACAUCAACGCAACCAACAAACCCCAUCCUGCCAAGGCCAACCUCGCACUGGUCGUGGGAUCCCAUGACCCACCACGCCCAGACGCGCGCACCACCCCCCAGCCGAAGCUGCUUCCACCAAAUCCGGGGCCGCCGCCCCGGCAGCCUCCACCACGCCGCCAGCCAUGCUGGGCUAGCAAGCCGGCCAGCACCGCAGCACCAGGCAGGGAGGGGGGGCCGCCACCCCACCCCAUCUCACCGAGCAGAGUUGCCAGGCCGAAACCCGAGCACAUCUGCCACAACCACAAUAGCAGCAGGGGCGGCGCCGCCGAAGAGCCAGGAACCUCCAGCCGCAGCCCCAACCGCCGGAUCCAUGCUGCCAAGAGCCGCGAGAGCACCUCCACCAUCCGGAUCCACUCCGUCAGAUCGGGGGCCGCCGCCCCAUCGAGUCGCCCGAGCCCCGCUGCCACCGCCAAGCCGCCGAACCACUACAGGUCACCAAGCCGCAGCAGGACCACCGCCUCCACGCCAGGGCACAAGGCUGCUCGCCGACGCCAGCCGCUGCCCAACGCCACGAGAUCCCCAUCCUGCAGCGCCCGCCAGCGCGAGAGGAGACCCCGCCGCCGCCCGCUCCGCACGAGCUUUGCCCGCGGGAGGCACCGGCGACGGCGAGGGGGCGGAGGGGAUCAAGGGGCCGAGCGCCUCGGUGGCUGGGGUCGCCGCCCGUGCCGCCCCUGGGGCCGGAGCGACGCGGGGGCAGGGUCUUCCACUAGCUCUGAAAGUU